UGGUGACUUACCUUUUAAGAAUGUGUAAUGUAGUGGAAAUAUUGAUAGCUUGAAUUCCUGCUUUUUGGUAAGAAGCUACAAAGUGACUCAUGAAGGCUCUGUCUUCCAGCAAGCAUACAUCUGGCUGAAAUGAUCCUACAGCUAGUAUGGAUAUAGAAAUAUAUACCCUGUAAUAAUUUUUAUACUUUUUGCUCUUAGAAAUAAGUCAUUCCAAGACAGGCAGGUGGUGUACACCUGUAAUCCCAGCUACUCACGAUCUCUUCUGAGGCAGGAGCGCUGCAAGUUUGACACCAGCCUCAGCAACAUAGUGAAGCCAUAAGCAACUGUCUCAAAAAAAUAAAAAUAAUGUAGCUCAGUGGUAAAGCACUCCUGGGUUUAAUCCCCAUUACAAAAAAAAAAAAAAACCAAAAACAAACCCAGAGCAGUGAUUAUUUCUAAGACAAAUGCCAUUACUUGAACAGUUAAAGAAAUGGAUCAAGGUAAUUGGGCACAAACAAACUAUGCCCUUUUUUGUGAUGUGUUGAGAUAUUGGGGAUUGGGCCCUCAAAUACUCCCUGUGAACUACAUCCCCAGAGCUUUUUUUAUUUUGAGAUAAGGUCUCAAUAAAAUUGCCCAGGCUGGCCUUGAACUUGUAAUCUUCCUACCUCCGCUUCCCAAAUAGCUGAGAUUAUAGGAAUGCAGUACCACACCCACCUGUGCCCAAUUUUUAAUGCCCCAAAUUUGUUACUGUAUUCUUUAUGAGUUUAUUCAAAUAAUUUAUGCUAAAGUGAGAAGAUUCUAAUAACAGCUUUGUGGAACUACUGCUUUCUUUCAGCUAUUGGGUUUUAAUGUAGAAUUCCUAACUCUGCUAGAUAGUAAAAUUAACUAAAAAAGUUAAUGAUUCUAAUGUUUCAUAAAGAUGCAUUUCUUCUGUCUGUAUGUUUGUUCAAAGAAUAUAGACAAGAUAACAGGAAAAACUCAGUAGUUCUGUUGGAAUAAAUUGUCCUGUCCUCUAUUAGAUUGUGUAAGCACCUGUAUCUUUGUUCUGUGCCUAAGGUUAUGUAGUUUACGC
rnacentral:lncRNA from 1 species